AGCCCCGUAGUGAUUACACAUCAGAUUGCAAACCUGAAAAAGUUCCUUUUUGGUUCCGGGGCUU
rnacentral:tRNA from 1 species